rnacentral:rRNA from 1 species
UAUGCCCUACGGGACGCAGCAGUAGGGAAUCUUCCACAAUGGGCGACAGCCUGAUGGAGCAACGCCGCGUGGGUGAAGAAGGUCUUCGGAUCGUAAAUCCCUGUUGUUAGAGAAGAAAGUGCGUGAGAGUAACUGUUCACGUUUCGACGGUAUCUAACCAGAAAGCCAUGGUUAACUACGUGCCAGCAGCCGCGGUAAUACGUAGGUGGCAAGCGUUAUCCGGCUUUAUUGGGCGUAAAGGGAA